GAGCGUACAUGUCUUGCGGCCUUAACUUACUUAAAAUGGUUUCUAAGCAGACGCUGUGGCAGGGCACAUACGACGGUGGGAACGGUGCCAACAAAAUUACAAAUCGGCAACGAAAGAUAAAAGUGUUAUUACGUAGAAAUUAAAUUUACAAAACUAAUUCAUACAAGUCCAAUUAAAACACAUCUUUGUCUUUCGUUGUAAACAAAACAACGAAAGGUAUACGUAAAUGCUUGUACAUAAAAUAUAGUACUGAGACUUGUAUACAUUAGUCUGUAAUCAAUCAUGGCACGGUACAUCUCGUAUUUGUUUGGCAAGUUGGUACCCUUCCGUUCGGCAGCUGCCGAUAAUUUAACACUACAUUGAGAAGCAGUGGAAGCUUCGAGGAUUUCAGCUAUUCAAUUUGAAAGAAAUCGUUUGCAUAAUCUACUAUCGCAAAUUACUCAACUACUAAUGUUUUUGAAAUCUGACAACAUUAUUUUUGAAGGCUUCGUGUCGUGAUUUCUUUAUUCACACAAGCGCACUUUCAAUGCAACGGCACAUAAUUCAAAACUAGGACUAGAUAAUGUUUUCAAAGGCCACAUUUAGUUUUUCCAGUAACAAAGGCAAUGUAAACGUAAUUAAUGAUUAUUAUGAUAACAAUUCGUUCGUUUCAGUAUUUUUUCAGCUCUGAUAUCACUCUCAGAUUGAGCGGGCUCUGAAAGUUUUAUGCCAAAAUUCUCCCCUGUAAAAUGAUCAGAUACCAAUUUUUAUAUAUUUGGCAAAUAGAGUGAAGCCCAAAUUUUUAUAGUGGACAGAGAAACUGUGGUGUAAGUUAUGGACUUUUCCGUAUUAAUCUUAUAUGAGGUGUUCCGAUUAGAAUUUGCGACCCUGCAUUGUUCUACCUUUUGCGGCGGUGUAUGUAAGCUUUUAUUGAAGUAGUUCGCACGUUCUUUAUUUAGAUGCGCUUAUUUCUAUAUUUGGAAGUUCCGAUUUCUCUUUAGAUGUCCCAUCUCCAAUCUACCUAAGCCAUAGCUCAUCAACAGAGCUACGCGAGCUGACAUGAUCCGCUAUACUUCCUUCAAUUAACGAUAGUUUUGAGCUUUCAGCAACAAAUGCCAUAACAUAACAUAACAUAAUAUUGCAAUGUGCUUUUGAACCUUUUAUAUACACUGGUAUGAACUUUAAUAAAGUUUUAUCGUUCUUUACAACCUUUGUGAAUACAUUUUUACCUCUAUUAUUGUCGUCACUAACACUAUUGGCGCUACCAUUGAACCUACAUUCGUCGUUUUCUUCGUGAAAUAAUCUGUUAUGGUAUUUAGAACAGGAAGCCAAAUCGCAAAUUCUUUUCAUAUUGCAGCGCAUCGAAUUGUUUCUGGACGUAGAGAACCAAAAGAAAGAAGCUUGGAUUUUACAAAUGUCCGGAAUUUGGUUUGCAAUAUGUUUAAUACACGUAUUUAAUUUUAGUAGAAUCAAUCUUAGUUAACUUAUUUAUUUUUAAUACAUUUUUGUAACCUAGCUUAUUUAUUUAUUUAUUUCAAAUUGAUUACAAAAACAUAUUCCAACCAACAACUAGAAGAAGGUUAAAAAGGAAACAAAAUUUAAACUUUACGCUAAAACUACUACAAAAGAUGCGCAAUAGUAAUAAUACAAGAAAACACUACUCUAUCCUUCUAGCCCGUAUUUAAUUAUUUAAGUAGCUGUAAUUCAUAACACGUAUGUCUGGAAGUCCUCAUUUGGUAACGUAACGAUCUACGUCUACCUUUUGUGUAACAAAGUUGACGUCUGCGAAGUGUUCUCAGUCUUUCCAAACAUCGUCUAUGAACACUAUUAUAUUAUGACUGUUGUACGCGCUGUGGUAGCUAGUUCAGGAGAUGUGGGGUGUUUUGAAUUUUGUCCCACAGGCGAUCCAGAAACGAUUACACCUACAACAAAUGUACUUUACCCUGAUAUAAAUAGACGGGGCGCGAAACCUACUUUAUCGAACGGGCAUAUCCUAAGCCCUGGGUUAUUAUUUACCUUGGCCUAUUUAAGGUCUCCUUCGGCCCUUGAGCCAAUAAUCUUAGUUCAUUUUAUAUUUUUCCUUUCUCCGACGCAAACAUACAUCUGUUUUUUAAUUAAAUAAUGGUUUCCAUUCAUAUUAUAUGCGAAAGUAAAAAUAUUUGUUUAAAGCAACAACAUAGACUUUAGGAUCCUUUGUGUGUAUAGAAAGCGUCAAUACAAAUAUGCUCCGAAAACGGUAUAAUCACAAAAAAAAAAAAUUUUAGAACAGACAAUCGACAUUUGCCAGUCAGAUUCUACAUCUCAAUAAGCUUUGGCAAAGUAAUGCCAACCAGCUCCCAUUUCUUGGCCUGUCAUUGCCUGAACCACACAGUUAUAGCGUGGUAUUAAAAGCCGCUCCUUAACAGUUGCAUUGACAGUAUUGCCUGUAUUGCCCAUUGGAUGGGAUCGUCCUUAUUGGAUACUUUCCUUUGCAAUCCAUCGUGAACAAUCUUACUUGUUAAUACUUACUUAAAAUACUGUGUUUUAAAACCCUCACUCAAUGUGGGUCUCACGCUAUAGUUCGCGACAUUUUGCAGUGCCUUUCCCAAAACCGAAUUUUCAUGAUUAGUGUUGUCUUUUUGCAUCUUUCUCUUUAUCGCAUAUAUUAACGCAUUAUAUGAGAGUAUAAAAAGACUCUUCACAAAUUUUCAGUUUCUAAAAAUUAGUUUAUAUUUUCUUUUUGAGAUUUUUUCUUUGACAUGUACAAAUUACUGCGUAAAUAAUUCUAGCUUUCGUCUUAAAUUGUGAGUUUGAAGUAUAAUGCCAUUUUCCUCUAAUGUGUCGUGUUUGGAGAUUUCUUCGUAAAACAAUUCCUUUUAAAUAUGGCAGGCUUGUUGAAGGCCUCUACUGCUUUUUCAUUAUAAAGAUAUAAUACUAUAUUUGCUUACGUAUUCUUGGGGAUAAGAGUCAAUAUA